AAAGAAGUUAGAUAAUCAUUCUUCAACUGUAUGUUAACUUAUUAUCUUGAGGGCAAAAACUGUUUUCUCUCAGGCAGAAGAAAUCUAUUUUUCUUCAAUAUUGAGCUGUAAUUCAUUCAUUGUAGCCGAGAUAUAAAUAUUGAAUCUUCUUGAAAACUAUUUUCCCACUGGUAUGAAUACAAAAAUGGAAAUCACAGGGAUGAUGGAGGAGGCAAGACAAGAAACCAGGAGGUAUUAAGAAACCCUGACAGUACUCCUGUGGAGAUAGCGUGACGUUCUCAAAAAGGACACAGUGAGAAGGCAGCUCUCUCCAAACCAGAAAACCAGCCUCACUAGAAACCAGAUUGACUGACAUCUUGAUCUUGGAUUUCUAGCCUCCAGAACUGUGAGAAAUAAACUUCUAUUGUUUAAGUCUCCUGGUCUGUGGUAUUGUAGUAUUGCCCUAGCAAACUAAGACAUCCACCUACUCAUAUAGGGUUUUGUGAACAUUUUGUGAAUAUUAAACAAAGUAUAUAAAAUACUUUAUAUGUACUAAAUGCUUAGUAAAUAUAAAUUACAGAUUUCUGUUAUCAUUGGAGAAAAAUGUGGAUUUCUAUGUGAAAAAAUAUAGGGCACAUAAAAAUAGAUUUCUUUUUUAUCCAUAAAGUUACUUUUCUAUUUUUCAGAUUUGUGAUAGUAAAUCUUAAUUCAGUACCUACCAGCACAAGCCCAUACACAUUGUAGAAGGUGACAAAAUGUUUACUCAAUGAU